UACGUAGGGUGCGAGCGUUAAUCGGAAUUACUGGGCGUAAAGCGUGCGCAGGCGGCUUCGCAAGUCAGGCGUGAAAUCCCCGGGCCUAACCUGGGAAUGGCGUCUGAAACUACGGAGCUGGAGUGUGGCAGAGGGAGGUAGAAUUCCACGUGUAGCGGUGAAAUGCGUAGAGAUCCGGAAGAACACCGGUGGCGAAGGCGGUUGGCUGGGCCACAACUGACACUGAUGCGCGACAGCGUGGGGAGCAAACAGG
rnacentral:rRNA from 1 species